AAUAAAUAAAUGAAAGGAAGAUCAGUAGAAUAGAGGAUCAGGGAGAUGGAGGAAGAGAGUGAAAGGGGAAGUACUAGGGGUUGAAAUGGAACAAAUUAUGUCAUAUGCACUUAGGAAUGUAUCAAAAUGAACCCCACUAUAAUGUAUAGCAAUAAUGCACUAGGAAAAACACUAGAAACAGAUUAAGAAUACAACUCAACCUAUUUUACUAACUUACCCAAAUGAUCUCAUUAAUUAUUGUGGGAAUUUCAGUGGUCACCAUGCUCCAUCAUGUCCCAGAGAAGGAACAUAUUUUGUAGGAUUUCAG
rnacentral:lncRNA from 1 species